rnacentral:rRNA from 1 species
UUAAGUUAGAAAGGGCGCACGGUGGAUGCCUUGACACUAGGAGUCGAUGAAGGACGGGACUAACGCCGAUAUGCUUCGGGGAGCUGUAAGUAAGCUUUGAUCCGAAGAUUUCCGAAUGGGGAAACCCACUAUACGUAAUGGUAUGGUAUCCUUACCUGAAUACAUAGGGUAUGGAAGACAGACCCAGGGAACUGAAACAUCUAAGUACCUGGAGGAAGAGAAAGCAAAUGCGAUUUCCUGAGUAGCGGCGAGCGAAACGGAAUCUAGCCCAAACCAAGAGGCUUGCCUCUUGGGGUUGUAGGACAUUCUAUACGGAGUUACAAAGGAACGAGGUAGACGAAGCGACCUGGAAAGGUCCGUCACAGAGGGUAACAACCCCGUAGUCGAAACUUCGUUCUCUCUUGAAUGUAUCCUGAGUACGGCGGAACACGUGAAAUUCCGUCGGAAUCUGGGAGGACCAUCUCCCAAGGCUAAAUACUCCCUAGUGAUCGAUAGUGAACCAGUACCGUGAGGGAAAGGUGAAAAGCACCCCGGAAGGGGAGUGAAAGAGAUCCUGAAACCGUGUGCCUACAAAUAGUCAGAGCCCGUUAAUGGGUGAUGGCGUGCCUUUUGUAGAAUGAACCGGCGAGUUACGAUCCCGUGCAAGGUUAAGCUGAAGAGGCGGAGCCGCAGCGAAAGCGAGUCUGAAUAGGGCGUUUAGUACGUGGUCGUAGACCCGAAACCAGGUGAUCUACCCAUGUCCAGGGUGAAGUUCAGGUAACACUGAAUGGAGGCCCGAACCCACGCACGUUGAAAAGUGCGGGGAUGAGGUGUGGGUAGCGGAGAAAUUCCAAUCGAACCUGGAGAUAGCUGGUUCUCCCCGAAAUAGCUUUAGGGCUAGCCUUAAGUGUAAGAGUCUUGGAGGUAGAGCACUGAUUGAACUAGGGGUCCUCAUCGGAUUACCGAAUUCAGUCAAACUCCGAAUGCCAAUGACUUAUCCUUAGGAGUCAGACUGCGAGUGAUAAGAUCCGUAGUCAAGAGGGAAACAGCCCAGAUCGCCAGCUAAGGUCCCAAAGUGUGUAUUAAGUGGAAAAGGAUGUGGAGUUGCUUAGACAACUAGGAUGUUGGCUCAGAAGCAGCCACCAUUUAAAGAGUGCGUAAUAGCUCACUAGUCGAGUGACUCUGCGCCGAAAAUGUACCGGGGCUAAAUACACCACCGAAGCUGCGAAUUGAUACCAAUGGUAUCAGUGGUAGGGGAGCGUUCUAAGUGCAGUGAAGUCAGACCGGAAGGACUGGUGGAGCGCUUAGAAGUGAGAAUGCCGGUAUGAGUAGCGAAAGACGGGUGAGAAUCCCGUCCACCGAAUGCCUAAGGUUUCCUGAGGAAGGCUCGUCCGCUCAGGGUUAGUCAGGACCUAAGCCGAGGCCGACAGGCGUAGGCGAUGGACAACAGGUUGAUAUUCCUGUACCACCUCUUUAUCGUUUGAGCAAUGGAGGGACGCAGAAGGAUAGAAGAAGCGUGCGAUUGGUUGUGCACGUCCAAGCAGUUAGGCUGAUAAGUAGGCAAAUCCGCUUAUCGUGAAGGCUGAGCUGUGAUGGGGAAGCUCCUUAUGGAGCGAAGUCUUUGAUUCCCCGCUGCCAAGAAAAGCUUCUAGCGAGAUAAAAGGUGCCUGUACCGCAAACCGACACAGGUAGGCGAGGAGAGAAUCCUAAGGUGUGCGAGAGAACUCUGGUUAAGGAACUCGGCAAAAUGACCCCGUAACUUCGGGAGAAGGGGUGCUUUCUUAACGGAAAGCCGCAGUGAAUAGGCCCAAGCGACUGUUUAGCAAAAACACAGGUCUCUGCGAAGCCGUAAGGCGAAGUAUAGGGGCUGACACCUGCCCGGUGCUGGAAGGUUAAGGAGAGGGGUUAGCGUAAGCGAAGCUCUGAACUGAAGCCCCAGUAAACGGCGGCCGUAACUAUAACGGUCCUAAGGUAGCGAAAUUCCUUGUCGGGUAAGUUCCGACCCGCACGAAAGGUGUAACGAUUUGGGCACUGUCUCAACCAGAGACUCGGUGAAAUUAUAGUACCUGUGAAGAUGCAGGUUACCCGCGACAGGACGGAAAGACCCCGUGGAGCUUUACUGUAGCCUGAUAUUGAAUUUUGGUACAGUUUGUACAGGAUAGGCGGGAGCCAUUGAAACCGGAGCGCUAGCUUCGGUGGAGGCGCUGGUGGGAUACCGCCCUGACUGUAUUGAAAUUCUAACCUACGGGUCU